ACAACCCUUAUAUGUCCCCAAACCGGGUCGCCCAUGACCCAUGACCCGCGACCCGGUUCGUUUCCUUAAAGCCCAAUUCUUUUUUUUUUUUUUUUGCUUUCUGCACGCCCCUGUUUACUACUGCACCCCACCUUGUGUUUGGACCAUUUUUUUUAUUUUUCCUUAUUCCUUUUCGUAUUUGUUUAUUUAUUUUUAGCAUUUUAAUUUUUAUUGCAGACCUUAGAAUGUAAAUAGGUUUUUUUGUAAUAGUCAUAGAUUUUAUAUUUCUAACUUAGGGUAGCCGCGCUUUUAUUCUUUAUGCUCCGUUAGUUUAUAUAUUUAUUCAAAAAUCACAAAAACAUGCAAAUAACCAAAAAUCACAAAAAACAUUUUUCCAUAAUAAACCUUGAUCCUAAAUCAAGUGAUCGUCCUUUUUUUUCAUUUUAUUUUCUUAAUCAAAUAUCAAUCAAUUUAAUCA
rnacentral:lncRNA from 1 species